rnacentral:rRNA from 1 species
AUUGAACGCUGGCGGCAGGCCUAACACAUGCAAGUCGAGCGGGGUUUUCGGACCUAGCGGCGGACGGGUGAGUAAUGCGUAGGAAGCUACCCGAUAGAGGGGGAUACCAGUUGGAAACGACUGUUAAUACCGCAUAAUGUCUACGGACCAAAGUGUGGGACCUUCGGGCCACAUGCUAUCGGAUGCGCCUACGUGGGAUUAGCUAGUUGGUGAGGUAACGGCUCACCAAGGCGACGAUCCCUAGCUGGUUUGAGAGGAUGAUCAGCCAAACUGGAACUGAGACACGGUCCAGACUCCUACGGGAGGCAGCAGUGGGGAAUAUUGGACAAUGGGCGCGAGCCUGAUCCAGCCAUGCCGCGUGUGUGAAGAAGGCCUUCGGGUUGUAAAGCACUUUCAGUAGGGAGGAAGCGUUGUGUGUUAAUAGUACACAGCGUUGACGUUACCUACAGAAGAAGCACCGGCUAACUCUGUGCCAGCAGCCGCAGUAAAAC